UGUACAUGGUGCACAAAGAAGGAGGUUCCAUGUAUGCUCAACCAAGGCGACAGUAGCUGUGUUUUCGGUGCGUUCAGGUAGCGAAAGGACAGCCUCUGAGAUCUACCAACUUCUUCCGAGACUCGGGAUGUGACUUUAAUCACCACCUAUUUCUCACUUUAUUGCUGCAUUUUUAUACAAAAAGUAGUUAUUCUUUUCUACUGCGUUUUUUAAAGUUUUAUUUGCUCAAGAACUGUUUUUUUUUUGCUAGCGCGUUAGCAUUGAGGUAGCCGUGUCUGGCCGCGCCCGCCCGCUCGUUGCAAGGCGUAGGCCUAAUCGCCAUCACCAUCGCAAGUGUGUUGUCUGUUAUUUAGCACGUGCAUGCAAGCAAAUGUGACAAAGUUGGUCUUUAUUGUAUGUCAAGCCCGACUGGCCCUACCAGGAUAUUCCGUAUCAUAUCGCAGGCUACGGCUGGUAUUCUUAAAAGAUGUUUGCGCUGGUGCGCUUUGUCAAUGAGAUUGACAAGACGAAAAGAUACAUAAUACCCGUCAAAGACAUACAUGACUUUUACCCACUCCACUUGUUGGACUUUGACAACAAAGUGACGUACAGUGCCAACUGGUGCGACCCCAACGACGAGGAGGACAGCGGCGAAUAUGUUGUCCAGAUUCUUAAGCUGGCAGAAACGAAAGAAGAACUGAAGCAGAUGGACAAGAGAACACCUGUCCCUCCAAUCCAUGCAUCUGAUUUGGAGGAUGUAGGCAAAGAUGAUGAUGCUCGAACAAGCAAAAAAACUGCGAUGCAGGAGUCCAGGAAAAAGAUACAAAAUCAGCUGUGCACGAAAAAGCAACAGCUUGCAGCAGUUCUCGAGCAGCACACCAAACAUGCACUGGUUAAUAAUGCUGCAGCUGCUGGCAAAACUCAAGCAGCUCCAAGGAGAAAGAGGAUUAAGACCUCAGAGGAAUGCUCGGACUCCAGUGACGACGACGACAGUGUCAUCGCGUUAUCAGAACUGAGAAAUUCUGAGAAGGAGGCUAAGUUUUGGAAAAGUAGAUAUAAGCUGGAAUGUCAGCAUUCAGCCUCCUUGAAAAGGAAUAUAGACUUCCUACAAAAGAAAGUGGAGAAACAGAUGGCUUUGUUUCAGCGGACACUGGAAAAUUUGAGCCAGCCCUGUCGGUGUGGAAAUGGUAAGCUCACUGUAUAUUUCUGCAAAUGGAAUGGCAAACAUAUUUUUAAGACUAGCUGUAAGCAUUGUGGUGAUGACUGCUAUGCUGCUUCACCUAAUCAGUUAUUUGUGUGAAAAUUAAUAGGCUGAUUUUAUCCAUAUUCAAUAUGUGAAAAGCGAAGGAGUUUCAGGUCACUUGUAUCUGACAAUGUUCAUGUUGAAUAAGGUUUGUGUACAUCGUGCAAAAGUUAUGUCUCAUUUGACAACAGUUUGCCUUCCCUUGCAUGUUUUCAUGAUCAUUACCUUUUUUGGCAUAUUGAGCAUGGUUCUGACAUCCCUCCCAUACGUCAUGAGAAGUUUUAUUCUAAGGCCAGAAAACUUCUUGCUUUCAUUUACACUGAGGAAGAAGUCUGAAGAACAGUUCAUAUCUCUGGUCAUGUGGAAAUUUGCAGUUGCAUUAAUCAGUCGUUCUUGCAGGCAUUAAUCUCCGAAGCAACCUGGCAGCGGAGGAGUUGCCAGAAGCUUCAUCAGAGCCAGCACCUGCAUCAGAGCCAGCACCUGAAAGUGCUAAGUGCAAGAAGAAACCCUGUGGGGACAGUGUGCAAGUGGCCACAGCUACACCACCAUCGGCAGUACCAGAAAACAACUGCACCAAAAAAACAGUCGAAGAGGCUGCUUGCUCAAACCAAGCGGCUCAGCAGACGGUGCCUGAAUUUUCCUUGUGUGAUGGUGGGCUGUUCCAUCUAUCCAGGAACAUUUUUAUCUCACAGAAGCAAGCAGCUAAGCUGUUCAAAAAUAAGAAAGCCACAAUAUUGGUUAGAGAUGCUGCUCAAGUUGUGUGGGGUUUCCACACGCUUGCGCAGAGAAGUGUGAGCGGUCGGUUGGCACCCACAAAAGCCAACAGUGGGCUGGAGCCAUCCAAACAGCUCACGCCGGAAAAAGUGGAGGUUAUUUACGGAUGCCUGGCCCACUGGGGCAGUGUGAAUAAUGUGGAUACCACGCUGGCCCACCACAACGUCAUGCGCACUUUAUCAGAAAAAAUUCAAGACUGCAAGAAGAAGCUGCGCAUGAAUUGACAUUGCAAAGCUGCACCUAUGUGACGUGAUAUGUUUGAGUUAAAUACAUAUUAGAUCUU